GUGAAGCGAGACGGCGACGUUAAGCAAAUCACAAAAAACCCAGUCCCAGUUCGGAUUGCAGUCUGCAACUCGACUGCAUGAAGCUGGAAUCGCUAGUAAUCGCGAAUCAGAAUGUCGCGGUGAAUACGUUCCCGGGUCUUGUACACACCGCCCGUCACACCAUGGGAGCCGGGAAUGCCCGAAGUCGGUGACCCAACCGUAAGGAGGGAGCCGCCGAAGGCAGGCCUGGUAACUGGGGUGAAGUCGUAACAAGGUAUC
rnacentral:rRNA from 1 species